AGAAAAGGUCCUACUGCUCCAAAGAGUUAAAUAACCCUUUAACAGAGUAUUUGAUUUUACUAAAGCCUGCUCAUUUACAGAGAUACGAACAUUUUAUUCCCCACAUCAUGGAAAUAAAUUUAGAUUUUAUCACACAUACAUGCCUUUAAAGCAUUAGCUGAGAGCCAAAUUUCUCUCCCCAUUAAGUCACUUACUGUGAUAUCAACUCAAAAAUUGGUUAUCAUAUACAUAACAUUGAAGCAUAUCAAAAUGCUAUCAUUUAGGGCUCCAGAUACAUUUAUAAACCUUCAGUCUUGUGGUUUAUUAUGUUUCCAGAAGCCCUCUAUGUUAUUUACUCAUAAUGGACAAUUAAGCGUUGUAUGUCCUCUCUCUCUAUGUAUACAUACAUAUGCUAUCAUUCUGUAAACUUAAAAGAUUUGUUUAUUUAAGUCUAGGUCGGAGAAGAUAUAAAGGAUAACCCUAGAGAGAGUGGAUGCACCUUACAAACUCACCGCUGGCCACCAGAUUCUCUCUUAAAGAGUGUUCCAAGCACACCGUUCAACUUCAGUCACGGAGGACUCAUUUAGGUUCACUCUUCCCAUAAAAUAUAUCGAAGCUUAGCUUCUCUCCGUCUUUCACUACCCACUUCUAAAUAGAAACUUUCUCAGUUCCAAUCAGAAUCUCUGACUUAUAAGCCAGUAAAUCUCUCUCCUGGGCACACAGAUACAUUCUUCUUCAUUUUAAGUUAUCCGUUUCCAUCAGUGGUAGCUACGUAGACUGAGUAGUAAUCUGCAGGGAACCUCAGACCUGUUGUUGGCCUUAUUUCUGCUCCUUGUUGCUAUUUCAUCUCUUUCAUGUGAAAUCAGAAAAUGUUCUCAUAGUUAAAUAAAUUACAAAUACAGUAUUGAAUGUGACUGACUGCUUUCUGCACCCAGACACCAGCCAACUCGGAAAAAGUAUCCUUAUUUAUGAUUUUUCUCCUUUCACGUGCCUAGGAAUGAUUACUUAAUGAUGCCUAGAGUUGGCAGAAGAAUAUUAUCCAUUUCCAGGAUAUUAUUUAAAUAUCCAGCCAAAUAUACUACCAAACUAUAAAUAAUACUAAAAUGGGAAACGUAUCAUCAAGGAAAGAUACUUCAAAGAGCAAAGAUUUAAUUUUAAGGCAUAAAAAAAAUCUGGUGGAAGUUCAAUUAGAAAUAAUUUGAACAACGGCUUCAGAUACAUGCACAUACGCUUAUAUAUAUUAUUUAUGUUUGUGUUUUCCAUCUGCUCAGUGGCCAG